UACGUAGGGGGCGAGCGUUGUCCGGAUUUAUUGGGCGUAAAGCGCUCGCAGGUGGCCCGAUGCGUCGUGCGUGAAAGACCCCGGCUCAACUGGGGGCGGUCGUGCGAUACGGUCGGGCUGGAGGCCAGUAGGGGGAUGCGGAAUUCCGGGUGUAGCGGUGAAAUGCGUAGAUAUCUGGAGGAACACCGGUGGCGAAGGCGGCAUCCUGGACCGACACUGACGCUGAGGAGCGAAAGCCAGGGGAGCAAACGGG
rnacentral:rRNA from 1 species